ACACGCAUGACACACUGCAUAUCAAUAAGCGGAGGAAAAGAAACUAACUAGGAUUCCCUCAGUAACGGCGAGUGAAGCGGGAAGAGCUCAAAUUUGAAAUCUUCAAGGUUCUACCUUGACGAAUUGUAGUUUAUAGAAGUGUUUUCUGUUAGUAGAGUGGCAAAAGUUCUUUGGAAUAGGACAUCAUAGAGGGUGAGAAUCCCGUAUUUGACCAUUAUUUUCAGCUGUGUGAUACACUUUCAAAGAGUCGGAUUGUUUGGGAAUGCAGUCCAAAAUGGGUGGUAAAUUUCAUCUAAAGCUAAAUAUUGGCGAGAGACCGAUAGCGAACAAGUACCGUGAGGGAAAGAUGAAAAGAACUUUGAAAAGAGAGUUAAACAGUACGUGGAAUUGUCAAAAGGGAAGCGUUUGACACCAGUGUUGUUUUCUCGAAAAUCAAUUAAAAAAAGUUGGAUUUUGUUGUUGUAUUGACCUUAACAGCUUUCUUCACUCUUUUCCUGCUUUUUUUAAUGCACUUUUCGUUUAACAAGUCAACAUCAGUUUCUUUUGUUGUAAAAAGGUCAUUGGAAGGUGGCUUUCUUUUCGGAGAAAGUGUUUAUAGCCUUUGAUCCCUGCAAUCGGGGAGACUGAGGUCUGCAGCGUAGAUCCUUCGGGGUUAGAUACAUUUGUGCUAAGUUAUAGCUUUUUAUAGACAACUUGUUGACUAUAUUUAGUCUUGUAGCUUACUCGCUUAUGCUAUUUUACCUACGCUUAGGAUGUUGAGCGCAUGUCUCUCUCU
rnacentral:rRNA from 1 species